rnacentral:rRNA from 1 species
GUUCGCCCAUUAAAGUGGCACGCGAGCUGGGUUCAGAACGUCGUGAGACAGUUCGGUCCCUAUCUGUUGUGGGCGUUAGAUAUUUGAGAGAACCUGUCCCUAGUACGAGAGGACCGGGAUGGACGAACCUCUGGUGUACCAGUUGUGACGCCAGUUGCAUUGCUGGGUAGCUACGUUCGGAUGAGAUAAGCGCUGAAAGCAUCUAAGCACGAAACUCUCCUCAAGAUGAGAUAUCUUUAUAAGGGUCGUUGAAGACUACAACGUUGAUAGGUUACAGGUGUAAAGAUGGUGACAUCAAAGCCGAGUAAUACUAAUUACCCAAAAACUUAUUAUC